AUCCUGGCUCAGGACGAACGGCUGGCGGCGCGCCUAACACAUGCGAGUCGAGCGGGGUGUAUGUUCAACACUGAGUGUUAAGGAGGGACUUUUAAGCAUUGAGUGUUGAAGAUACAUCUAGCGGCGGACGGGUGAGUAACACGUGAGCAACCUGCCUUAAAGAGGGGGAUAACGUUGGGAAACCAACGCUAAUACCGCAUAAGAUAUUAGUGCCGCAUGGCACAGAUAUAAAGGAGCAAUCCGCUUUAAGAUGGGCUCGCGCCCGAUUAGGUAGUUGGUGAGGUAAAGGCCCACCAAGCCUGCGAUCGGUAGCCGGACUGAGAGGUUGAUCGGCCACAUUGGGACUGAGACACGGCCCAGACUCCUACGGGAGGCAGCAGUGGGGGAUAUUGCACAAUGGAGGAAAAACCUCUGAUGCAGCGACGCCGCGUGAGGGAAGAAGGUCUUCGGAUUGUAAACCUCUGUCGUUGGGGAAGAUAAUGACGGUACCCAAGGAGGAAGCCACGGCUAACUACGUGCCAGCCGCCGC
rnacentral:rRNA from 1 species